GAUUUGUAGAAUGACCCUCUCGAAAUCCAUAUUGCGAUGAACAUAAUAUGUUGUUUUGGUCAAUAAAUAUUUUUAGUCUAUUAUACAUAAGUUUUUCAAAUAUCCGAUUUAAGUUAGAUAGUAACGAAAUUGGUCUAUAGUUUCCUGGUUCUUCUUUGUCAUCGCUUUUAAAAAUUGGCACGAUUUGUGCAUGUUUUAGUUGAGAGGGAUACAUUCAUAAUAUUUGCUAACGGUUUAGAAAUAAUAGUUCUCGCGCCUUUAAGGAUUGGUGCUGCAAAUGAAUAUAGUCGUGAGCCUUAUUGGCAGGUAGGCUAAUAAUAGUAUUUCCAUUUCUACUUCCAAAGGGGUAACAGCAUCAAAGUAAAAUGAAUUUGUAGGAGAAGGAUAUUUUAGAUAUUCAUGGAAGUCAUGCUUAGAGCUAGGCAAUUGGUUUGGGAGAUUUUGUCCAACUGUUGCAAAGUGCCUGUUAAUUAAAUUUGGAAUUUUGGUGGGAUCGUUUGUGACACUUCCAUCGU